rnacentral:rRNA from 1 species
AGUCGAGGGGCAGCAUGGUCUUAGCUUGCUAAGGCUGAUGGCGACCGGCGCACGGGUGAGUAACACGUAUCCAACCUGCCGUCUACUCUUGGCCAGCCUUCUGAAAGGAAGAUUAAUCCAGGAUGGGAUCAUGAGUUCACAUGUCCGCAUGAUUAAAGGUAUUUUCCGGUAGACGAUGGGGAUGCGUUCCAUUAGAUAGUAGGCGGGGUAACGGCCCACCUAGUCAACGAUGGAUAGGGGUUCUGAGAGGAAGGUCCCCCACAUUGGAACUGAGACACGGUCCAAACUCCUACGGGAGGCAGCAGUGAGGAAUAUUGGUCAAUGGGCGAUGGCCUGAACCAGCCAAGUAGCGUGAAGGAUGACUGCCCUAUGAGUUGUAAACUUCUUUUAUAAAGGAAUAAAGUCGGGUAUGCAUACCCGUUUGCAUGUACUUUAUGAAUAAGGAUCGGCUAACUCCGUGCCAGCAGCCGCGGUAAUACGGAGGAUCCGAGCGUUAUCCGGAUUUAUUGGGUUUAAAGGGAGCGUAGAUGGAUGUUUAAGUCAGUUGUGAAAGUUUGCGGCUCAACCGUAAAAUUGCAGUUGAUACUGGAUGUCUUGAGUGCAGUUGAGGCAGGCGGAAUUCGUGGUGUAGCGGUGAAAUGCUUAGAUAUCACGAAGAA